rnacentral:rRNA from 1 species
GGGAGCUUGCUCCCUGAUAUCAGCGGCGGACGGGUGAGUAACACGUGGGCAACCUGCCUGUAAGACUGGGAUAACUCCGGGAAACCGGGGCUAAUACCGGAUAAUUCCUUCCUCCUCCUGGAGGAAGGCUGAAAGAUGGUUUCGGCUAUCACUUACAGAUGGGCCCGCGGCGCAUUAGCUAGUUGGUGAGGUAACGGCUCACCAAGGCCACGAUGCGUAGCCGACCUGAGAGGGUGAUCGGCCACACUGGGACUGAGACACGGCCCAGACUCCUACGGGAGGCAGCAGUAGGGAAUCUUCCGCAAUGGACGAAAGUCUGACGGAGCAACGCCGCGUGAGUGAAGAAGGUUUUCGGAUCGUAAAACUCUGUUGUUAGGGAAGAACAAGUGCGAGAGUAACUGCUCGCACCUUGACGGUACCUAACCAGAAAGCCACGGCUAACUACGUGCCAGCAGCCGCGGUAAUACGUAGGUGGCAAGCGUUGUCCGGAAUUAUUGGGCGUAAAGCGCGCGCAGGCGGUUCCUUAAGUCUGAUGUGAAAGCCCACGGCUCAACCGUGGAGGGUCAUUGGAAACUGGGGAACUUGAGUGCAGAAGAGAAGAGCGGAAUUCCACGUGUAGCGGUGAAAUGCGUAGAGAUGUGGAGGAACACCAGUGGCGAAGGCGGCUCUUUGGUCUGUAACUGACGCUGAGGCGCGAAAGCGUGGGGAGCAAACAGGAUUAGA